CCUAAGUUACAAUAAGGGCGGGGGGACCUAUGGGCCCCCACCCACCACUCAGGGGUGGGGGCCCAUAGGUCCCCCCGCCCUUAUUGUAACUUAGGGCCCCCA